rnacentral:rRNA from 1 species
CCUACGGGAGGCUGCAGUGAGGAAUAUUGGUCAAUGGACGAGAGUCUGAACCAGCCAAGUAGCGUGAAGGAUGACUGCCCUAUGGGUUGUAAACUUCUUUUAUAUGGGAAUAAAAUGUUCCACGUGUGGGAUUUUGUAUGUACCAUAUGAAUAAGGAUCGGCUAACUCCGUGCCAGCAGCCGCGGUAAUACGGAGGAUCCGAGCGUUAUCCGGAUUUAUUGGGUUUAAAGGGAGCGUAGGUGGAUUGUUAAGUCAGUUGUGAAAGUUUGCGGCUCAACCGUAAAAUUGCAGUUGAAACUGGCAGUCUUGAGUACAGUAGAGGUGGGCGGAAUUCGUGGUGUAGCGGUGAAAUGCUUAGAUAUCACGAAGAACUCCGAUUGCGAAGGCAGUUCACUGGACUGCAGCUGACACUGAGGCUCGAAAGUGUGGGUAUCAAACAGGAUUAGAUACCCUUGUAGUC